GAUGAGCAAAGAAAGCGGUUUCCACCUCAAGAAACCACUUUCUUUGCUCAUCCAUAAGGA
rnacentral:miRNA from 1 species